AGGGAAAGUUGAAAUAGAACUUUGCAGAGAGAGUUAACAGGGCGUGAAACCGUUAAUUGGCAAACGAAUCGGAGCCACGAAGUCGUUUCGUUGUUUAGCCUGGACUAGGUUCAGCUGGGGUCUCGCAAGGGGCCCUAGUGUAUUCCUGAGUCUGGCCAAACCUUGUAAGCGUACACUGCAACCAGUUAGACGAUCAGCAGUGGGCACAGUGGUUGGAGUCAGCCAGCAAUGGUCGGUUCCUUCUACGAAGCAAUUGUUUGUGUGGGUUAGUAGUAGUGCGGUUGUGCCUCGGUGCUUCUCGUGUUGCUGGGCCCAUGCAAGUGAACUACAGCUGAAUACUGACUGGCGAAAUGAAAAUCACCUUUUAGGUGUUAGAGACAAAGCAGCUAGCCAGACGUGGGCCUACACGGUCGACUGUUAGGUCUAAGCUUGGCGCUCUUGAAUUCAGACUUGCUUGCUACCAGUGGGGCAACUCCUGGUGCUUGUAUAGCUUCUGUCUAAUCGGGCGUCGACUUGGCUUGGCAUUGUUCGGUCGUGCUACGAUAGGGUUUGCGUCUGAGUUGGUUUGCAAUGUGAAU
rnacentral:rRNA from 1 species